GGGAUGUAGCGCAGCUUGGUAGCGCAUCUUCGUUCGGGACGAAGGGGCCGCUGGUUCGAAUCCAGUCAUCCCGA
rnacentral:tRNA from 1 species